AUGGCCGGCGGACGAGGCAAAGCCAAGCCGCUCGAGUUCACGCCGACAUGGAUCGUCGCGUCCGUCUGCUCCAUCAUCGUCAUCAUCUCCCUGCUCUUCGAACGCUUGCUGCACCGCCUAGGCAAGAGGCUGAAGAAGAGCCGAAAGAAGCCGCUGUAUGAGGCCCUCCUGAAGGUGAAGGAGGAGCUGAUGCUGCUGGGGUUCAUAUCGCUGCUGCUCAACGUGUUCCAGGCCCCCCUGGGGAAGGUAUGCGUCCGCCGGAGCGCCAUGCGCCACAUGCUUCCCUGCAAGCCGCCGCCGCGCCGGCCGCGCAAGACCGAGCACUUCGCCGAUGCUGUGUUCACCGGCGUCAUGGAUGGGGCCAGGCGGCUCCUGGCCGGAGGAGGCGCCACCGACGAAUACUGCCUCAAGAAGGGCACAGUUCCAAUACUUUCAGCUGAAGCUAUUCAUCAGUUACACAUAUUUAUCUUCGUGCUGGCGGUCACUCAUUUCCUUUUUAGUGCUAUUACAGUUCUUCUAGGAAUUGCUCAGACGAGAAAGUGGCGAAAUUGGGAGACCAAAAUCCAAAGAAAUGAUGAUAGUCCGCCUCGAAUGAUCAAGCAUGUUCAAGAAUUCAAAUUUAUUCAAGACCACUUUAAAGGUGACAAAAAACGAUGGAAGACAUUUGGUUGGCUGCGUUCCUUCUUCAAACAAUUUUAUGGAUCUGUCACCGAGGAGGACUAUACAACAAUGCGACUUGGUUUCAUCAUGAAACACUGUCGGGGGAACUUAAAAUUCAACUUUUACAGUUACAUGAUUAGAGCAUUGGAGGUUGAUUUCAAGAAGGUUGUUGGUAUUAGCUGGUACCUUUGGACUAUGCUGAUGAUAUUCCUAUUGUUGAAUGUUCAAGGAUGGUAUGUCUACAUUUGGAUAUCGGUGGUUCCAUUCAUUAUGCUACUUGUAGUUGGAAGUAAGAUGGAGCACAUCAUUACGGAACUGGCUUAUGAGGUUGCCCAGAAGCAUACAGCAAUUUGUGGGGAAUUAGUGGUAGCUCCUUCAGAUGAUUUCUUUUGGUUCCAUCGGCCUAAAUUAGUCCUUUUGUUGAUCCACAUCGUCCUCUUCCAAAAUGCAUUCGAAAUUGCAUUUUUCUUUUGGCUCCUGGUAACAUACGGCUUUAAAUCAUGUAUCAUGGGAAAACCAGCAUAUGUUAUUACUCGAGUUGUCAUAAGUGUCAUUAGCCAAUUCAUAUGCAGCUAUAGUACCCUACCGCUAUACGCCAUCGUCUCUCAAAUGGGGAAUUCAUUCAAAAAAUCUAUAAUUGAUGAGAAUGUGAAUGAAGGCCUUGUCAACUGGGCUGAAAAGGCAAGGAGAAGCACAAGAGUCCCAAACAGAGCAGCUAUUGAUGCAAAUAGUUCAUCAAUUGAUUAG
rnacentral:rRNA from 1 species